UACGUAGGGGGGCUAGCGUUGUCCGGAUUGACUGGGCGUAAAGCGUCACGCAGGCGGCUGUGCACGUGGGGUGUGAAAGCUGGCGGCUUAACUGCCAGACGCCACCUCAUACGGCACGGCUCGAGCCCGUGAGAGGUCCACGGAAUUGCCGGUGUAGUGGUGAAAUGCGUAGAGAUCGGCAGGAACACCCAGGGGGGAAACCAGUGGACUGGCACGGUGCUGACGCUCAGGUGCGAAAGCGUGGGGAGCGAACCGG
rnacentral:rRNA from 1 species